AAUCAACGCUGGCGGCGUGCCUAACACAUGCAAGUCGAGCGCGAAAGGGGGCAACCCCGAGUAGAGCGGCGAACGGGUGAGUAACGCGUGGGUGAUUUGCCUCCGAGUGGGGAACAACACCGGGAAACUGGCGCUAAUACCGCAUGACAUCUUCGGGUCGUACCGGAGAUCAAAGCUGGGGACCGCAAGGCCUAGCGCUUGGAGAGAAGCCCGCGUCCGAUUAGCUAGUUGGUGGGGUAAGGCCUACCAAGGCGACGAUCGGUAGCCGGCCUGAGAGGGCGGACGGCCACACUGGGACUGAGACACGGCCCAGACUCCUACGGGAGGCAGCAGUGGGGAAUAUUGGACAAUGGGCGCAAGCCUGAUCCAGCGAUGCCGCGUGUGUGAAGAAGGCCCGCGGGUUGUAAAGCACUUUUCAGUAGGGAAGAAAAGACCGAGUGCUAAUAUCAUUCGGUCUUGACGUUACUUACAGAAGAAG
rnacentral:rRNA from 1 species